CACACCUACACAGUCGAGAAGUUAAAUCAGUGACGACACAUGAGAACACCUGUGGGUGUGUGCGAGUCUGAAAGAUGUAACACACUAGGACUACUGACCAUGAAAUCAGGAAUACACAUCUGCAUGAAAGAGCCAUCAAAGAAAGUCAGUGUGUUCACAUGCUAUUAAAAAAAUGUGGAUUUGUUGAGUAGGUCCGUCCAAAACUGGACUUUUUAAAAUGCAUGUAAACCUGUUAGUCCAAAUGAAAUCGUACUAAAUUGAACUUAUACUCCAGCAGCAUGUACAGUAUGUACAUCUACAAACCGGCCUACAGGGGUAUCGACUCCUGGCUUUAAAGUCAACAACAGCAUAUAUGCUUAGAAGAAAGACAGCGAGGAAAACAAGACGAAGGUAUCAACAUGUUGAGUGCUAUGGUGAGAACCAUGCAUUUUUGAACAGACAAGGACAUAACUUAUUUUGUGUCAGCUGUUCAGAGUUAAACAUAGUAGAGUUCAUGGAAGAAAAACAACAAAACAAUGUAGUUAGGUGUUUUUAGCGCUCUCAGUUAAAAACGAUUCAACCUUUGGAACAGCGCCACGAUCGUCAAUAAAGUCAUCUGAUUCGUUUUUUUAAAGCACUCACUGAAACAGAAAAAAAAUGAUGAUAUGAAGUCAUUAGAUGCACAUCAAAUAGACACAAACAGCAAAAAAGGUCAUUUAAGUGAAGCAUCUGUGACAAAUGAAAAGAAGAAGGUCUAUGGAGAAGCCAGUUGUUAGAAUGUGUUUUUAUAGGUAGCCUACAGGAGCCCUUUUAGAAUAAGUAAGUGUUAAAUCAUAGUUGAUUUGUGUGAUGAAUUGCCUGAACGUGAUCUGAUGCAUUGCAUGUUGUAAAUGGCGACACAUCGUGAAUCAUUAAAGCACUUUUUUUU